UACAGAGGGUGCGAGCGUUAAUCGGAAUUACUGGGCGUAAAGCGUGCGUAGACGGCUAUCUAAGUCGGGUGUGAAAGCCCCGGGCUCAACCUGGGAAUUGCAUUCGAGACUGAAUAGCUAGGGUACGGUAGAGGGAAGUGGAAUUUCCGGUGUAGCGGUGAAAUGCGUAGAUAUCGGAAGGAACAUCAGUGGCGAAAGCGACUUCCUGGACCAGUACCGACGUUCAGGCACGAAAGCCGUGGGGAGCAAACAGGA
rnacentral:rRNA from 1 species